rnacentral:rRNA from 1 species
UGAUGACGAGACGCUAAGGCGUUGAAGCAGUGUAUGUCAGACUUCCAAGAAAAGCUCGCAAUGUCACAAAUAAAAGAUGCCUGUACCAUAACCGACACAGGUGGGUAGGUAGAGUAUACUAAGGGGCGCGAGAUAACUCUCUCUAAGGAACUCGGCAAAAUGACUCCGUAACUUCGGGAGAAGGAGUGCCUUAUUUAUAAGGUUGCAAUAACAAGAUCCAAGCAACUGUUUAUCAAAAACACAGGUCUCCGCUAAGUCGUAAGACGAUGUAUGGGGGCUGACGCCUGCCCAGUGCCAGAAGGUUAAAGAAGUUGGUUAGUGUAUGCGAAGCUGAUGACUGAAGCCCUGGUGAACGGCGGCCGUAACAAUAACGGUCCUAAGGUAGCGAAAUUCCUUGUCGGGUAAGUUCCGACCCGCACGAAAGGCGUAAUGAUUUGGAUACUGUCUCGGAGAGAGGCUCGGUGAAAUAGACUUGUCUGUGAAGAUGCGGACUACCUGCACCAGGACAGAAAGACCCUAUGAAGCUUUACUGUAACUUGAAAUUGGAAUUGGACUUUGCUUGCGCAGUAUAGGUGGGAAGCGUUGAAAAUAUUCUUGCGGGAGUAUUGGAGCUAUCAGUGAGAUACCACUCUUGUAAUGUUAGAUUUCUAACUUUGAACCAUAAUCUGGUCAAAGAACAGUUUCAGGUGGGCAGUUUGACUGGGGCGGUCGCCUCCCAAAUGGUAACGGAGGCGUACAAAGGUUUCCUCUGAACGGAUAGAAAUCGUAUCUAGAGUGUAAAGGCAUAAGGAAGCUUGACUGUGAGACCUACAAGUCGAGCAGGGACGAAAGUCGGUCUUAGUGAUCUGACGGUACUGAGUGGAAAGGCCGUCACUCAACGGAUAAAAGUUACUCUAAGGAUAACAGGCUGAUCUCCCCCAAGAGUUCACAUCGACGGGGAGGUUUGGCACCUCGAUGUCGGCUCAUCGCAUCCUGGGACGGUAGUACGUCCCAAGGGUUGGGCUGUUCGCCCAUGAAAGCGGUACGCGAGCGGGUUCAGAACGUCGUGAGACAGUUCGGUCCAUAUCCGGUGUAGGCGCUAGAAUAUUGAGAGGAGCCUUCUUUAGUACGAGAGGACCGAGAAGGACACACCGCUGGUGUACCAGUUAUCGUGCCAACGGUAAACGCUGGGUAGCUAUGUGUGGAGUGGAUAACCGCUGAAAGCAUCUAAGUGGGAAGCCCACCUCGAGAUGAG